AAAAACGUGAAAUGGUAAACUAUAUAUAAUGUAUAUUUUACCAUAGUAAAAAAAAAAAGAGUAACUUUCUAAAAUACUUGGCAUAGGACAAGACAGUGCUUCUCUGGGGCAUACACAAAUUAAAACCUAUACUUGAAAUAAUUCACAUUACAUUAAUCACUACAUGGAAUUAAAGUUGCUUUGCCACACUUACCUCUGACCUACUGGGCAAUCUUUGCUAUGCCCAAAGGACAUUUUUCAAUGUCCCACAUCACUUGACUCUGCUGUCAGCCCCUUCCUUGGCUCCCUGGUAACUGGCCUGGUCUGUGGAGGAACUGACCACACGGCCGGUUCCUCCCUGUCUCUCUCCACUGGUUCUUCUACUCCACCCAUUUGUUGCUCAGCUACAGAGCCCUUGGGUGAGCUCAGCUCUGGUAGCCUUUAGUUGCUACCUUCAUCCUGAGGACACAGGGGCCUUGCUCCUGAACUUCUGAAUAACAAAUCUCCUGGCAAAUCAAUCCUCUCAGAUGCCCUAAGGCUCCACCAGCUUACCAGGUCUGAAACAGAAGUCAUCAUGUUCCCCUGGCAGACUCAUGGAGGAAGGGAGUGGUCAGUAGCUUCAAACUCUAUAGGAUUUAGAAUUAGAAUAGACUAUUUGGGCCGAAUCCCUUGUCUCAGCAUUCAGAGAAAAAUCCCCUCUCUCCAGGUAUCCAGGCAAGUCCCCUGGUACUCCUUCACCCUUCUCCCCACUCUUCAGUUAUUGAGGCUGCGAUUCUGCCUCCUCAGUCUUUCCUGCCCCAUGGCCACACCCUCAUUCAGGCUCUUCUUCCUUGCCUCCCUAUCACAGCAGCCUCCCAGCUGCUAGCUUGGCCUUCUUUUCCUCUUUAGCCUGCUCACACUGUAGCCUGAGACAUUCCUCCAAAACAUUCAUCUAAAGGCUUCUCUUUCUCAAUUGAGAGCCUUCAGUGGCCUGCCACUGCCUUAACGUCAUGGGGGACAGGUCUGUGUGUGUUGUUCCAUCCUUCUUCCUUGGCUUUGUUACUCAUAGUUUAGAUUCCAGCCAACCCCAAUUACCCACACUACCCAGAGUGCACUAGGCCCCAGCCAAUCUCAAUCACCCACACUACCCAGAGUGCACUAGGUCCCAGCCAACCCCAAUCACCCACACUACCCAGAGUGCACUAGGCCCCAGCCAACCCCAAUCACCCACACUACCCAGAGUGCACUAGGUCCCAGCCAACCCCAAUCACCCACACUACCCAGAGUGCACUAGGCCCCAGCCAACCCCAAUCACCCACACCACCCAGAGUGCACUAGGCUUCAGCUAAGCCCCAAUCACCCACACUACCCAGAGUGUACUAGGCCCUGGGUAAGCCCCAAUCACCCGCACUACCCAGAGUGCACUAGGCCCCAGCCAACCCCAAUCAUCCAUACUACGCAGAGUGUACUAGGCCCUGGGUAAGCCCCAAUCACCCACACUACCCAGAGUGCACUAGGCUCCAGCUAACACCAAUCACCCGCACUACCCAGAGUGCACUAAGCUCUUCCAGGAUCUGAGCACCCACUGAAGAUAGCAAACACCUAUUCUCCCUGACCCCAAAGAACUCACAGCUCAGGAGUCUCCUCUGGUGCCCACCGUCCCAGCAGGGUGUGUCCCUGCCUCUUCACUCACUAAACUCUGAGUGAGCCUCUAUGUCCUCAACACUCAACAAUGGCGAGGGUUUAGUAUGUAAUCAAGGAACCAACCAUGCAUCCCCUGGCACCCGACAGGUCCUCACAAGUUCAUGAAGCAAAUGAGCAAAGGAGAAAAUUGUGCUUCCGUGCAGGUCAUGAAAAACUAAAACUUACACUCUUGGUAGCAGAGCCUAUCGGGCAGGAUGCGCGGAUUUGAGAAACAGUUAUUGACAACACACUUUCAUGGCCCUGCACCAUUUGAGUUAUAUUUCUCUCUGUGCUCUCAGCCAAGAGUCUGUCUUUUCACUAACAGCAAGUCUUGGCAAACCAGUAAUGUUUGCUUCCCACCAGAUACAUUUGGAUGUUUUCAAGAAGCCUAAUGUUUUUUGUUGUUUUUGUUUUUGUUUUUUUACUUGUUUUCAAGGUGACUGAUUUAUUUCCUCUUUUAAUUUGCUUUUAAGAACACAAAACAAAACAAAUUCAGCCCAAUAUUGCUCUCUUACAUUCCUGAACACUCUUUUCUGGUCGACUCAGCUUUUAGCUUCAGGUCCCAUCCUGUCUGUCCAGGUGUGGAAAAAAAAGGAAAAAACUCCCAGGGAGUGUAAUAGGGUUCUAGCUAGCAAACAUGUGGUAAGAGAGGUGAAUGGAGCAAGCAGGAAAGGAUUUCCCAGCAGGGGCCAGCAAGGGCAAGGUUGUUGCCAUGAGGGCAGGGUCUGGAACCCUGGGGAAAGGGAAGCUGUUAACCAUUAAUCUUACCCUAUCACAGCAUCUCUUCCCAGCUCACCUUUGUAGAGCUGCACUGGUGCAGCAGCCACACAGUGAGGAAGGAUGGAAGUCCAACAGCUCUAGUUACUAGUGUGGAGUUGAGACCAGCACAUCUGGGGUGGGGGGAAGAGGAAGCACCCCGGGUUUCACUGCCCCCGCUCCCACCCCAAGAAAUCUUCAACAUUGAGGAAGGCUAAAGGCUAAGCUAAGAAUUCAAAAGUCAUAGAAUUCUAAAACUGGAAGUUAUAUUGGACCUCAAUAGUUUUCCAUUUGUUUUGUUUUCCAUUCGUUUUCUCCAUGAGUUAUUCCAGGAAGGGAUCGCACAGCUACACAAAACAUGGUUUAAAAUCUCAUCCCCUUACUUUAUAGAGAUGGAGACACGAGCUCAGAGAGAUCUCACAAUCUGUCACGGUGACUGUCAGUCAACUGUGGAGUCUGCAGUCCAGCUCAGAUCUCCUGAUUUCCAGAUCUUUUCAGUUCCUGUUUUAGAGUACUGAACAGCUUUGUUUCAAAUGAAGCACAGACACACUACUAAAAUUCCAGUCUGGAAAAAACCUAGUCCGUAAGGUUUUGAUGCACAGUUUAAGAACAACCUCCCCUGUAGGGAAAAGCAUCCAAAUACUCUAAUUUUUAAAUGCCCAGAUAUCUCUGAAUAUUUGCUACUAUUUUCCUCUGAUUUGGACAUAGAUCUGCCUUCACCAAAUUCAAAACACCAAAAGAUAUGUGCACUGGAAAGCUUAUCUGUACAUUUAGGCAAUAGUUACAUGUUUUCUUGCACAAACUUCCGGACAGAAGACUAGGCAGAUGGGUCUCAGUGAUGCCACCGGCCCCUUAUUCUUUCUCUGUCCUCAUAUUUCCAUUUUUAAUAUGCAGGUGAGAUGACAUAUCCUUACAUGCCCUAGAGACAUUUGCGUUUAUUCCAGAGAAAUGUCUAUAGAAAGAAAAGUCCAGGUUUUGGCUAACAUAUAGGUAGAGAUAGAGAGAAAGGCCUGAGCACAUUUUUAUUUGAAGGACUGGCACAACUUUGAGAAAAAUCAGUCUUCAGUGGCAUGUUGUGGCUCCCUGCUGGAUGGCUCACCCCUCCAGGCUCAGACCCAUGACCAGUGGCCCUGUCUAACUGGCCACCGCAGCAUCCUCGCCUUCCCAGGGCUGGAGCUGCCUCACCAGACACUUCUAUUCUUACUUACCCCGCAGUGAGGCCAGAGGCUCUGACUGCUCAGAGGUGGGACAGGGAAGACUGUAGGGUACAGAGCAAAUGCCGUUACUUUUGGCUUAGAUAUUUAUUCCUUUGCUUUUCGCAGUUUGCCUACAGGGUUAGUAACGUAUUUCCAGUGAAGAAAAUGACCAAUGAAGAGACCUCAGUCUGCUCCGAUUUCCCGGUUGUGCCCAUCUGACCCUCAGUAAAACCAAAAUUCCUUUGAAGCUUAAAAAAAAAAAAAAAAAAAAA